rnacentral:lncRNA from 10 species
ACACACACAGGAGUGAAGGCAGCAGAGCCAAGCAGGAACCCGUCCUGCCCCAGGCCUGAGCUUUCUUAAGAGGCUCAUGGGGCAGAAAGGGUCAUUGUGCAUUUUUGUUGACUAUUGAUUCUCCCCUUCAUUCAACAACUGUACUGAGGCCAGAUCCCAAACUGAGCUCUGACGAGAUGGAGAAGCAAAGGACACGGUUCCUGCCCCCAAGGAGCUCCCAGACAAGCAGGAGAGAAGGCAGCUCCCAGACAAGCAGGAGAGAAGGCCGUGGAAAUGAUCCUUCUGAUACCACAGCCUGCCGAUGUCAUCUAGAACUCUGGGGGAUUGGGGGAAAACGAACAGAACCAGAUUAAAAAAAAAACCCUGUCCUUAGCUAGGUGUGGUGGUGGGCACCUGUUAUCCCAGCUACUUGGGCGGCUGAGGCAGGAGAAUCGCUUGAACCCAGGAGGUGGAGACUGCAGUGAGCCAAGACUGUGCCACUGCACUCCAGCCUGGGUGACAGAGCGAGACUCUGUCUCAAAACAAAAAAUGAAAAACAAAAAUGAAAAAGAAAAACAAAAACCAAACCCUGCCUUGUAAUUUUGACUUUUACUUUAUCCAAGUCAGGACUCCUGGUCUGAAGAAUAUUUGACCUCAUAACUAUUGGGGGACACUGGGGCUCCCUGCCCAGGGACAGGAUGUUCUCUGCAGAUAUCAGGACGUGGGUGCCGAUGACAAGGGCGCUUUGCCGCCAUGGCCCGGGGCUGGAAGCGCAGCUCUCAAAGGUUGGUUGUGAAGCUUCCAGGGGAGAUGGUCCUCUGCAGGAAGAAUAAGAGCCAUCCUGUAGCCUUCGCUGUUCCAGAAGGCUCCGUGGUGAAUACAUAAUUAGGUCCUCUGUAAUUACCAGUUUGAAUCUGCCUAGGACACUAAGGCUCCCACCCCCUAAUUUACCUUAUAAAUUUAUUCUGCUAAAAAAGUCGAAAAUGUCAGUCUUCUGUGAACGCUGCAUAAAUGAAUUAUCUCCCCAUGACAGAAGGUGGGGAGCGGGGAGGCUUCCAGAGGACAUUCCUCACUGUGAGUGUCGGAAAGUGCUCCAUGCUUCGCAAGCACCCAGCAGAGAGCCUAACCAAGCUGCUUCCUGCGCCCACCCCACGGAAGGCCAGG